GACGAACGCUGGCGGCGUGCCUAAUACAUGCAAGUAGAACGCUGAAGGAGGAGCUUGCUUCUCUGGAUGAGUUGCGAACGGGUGAGUAACGCGUAGGUAACCUGCCUGGUAGCGGGGGAUAACUAUUGGAAACGAUAGCUAAUACCGCAUAAGAGUAGAUGUUGCAUGACAUUUGCUUAAAAGGUGCAAUUGCAUCACUACCAGAUGGACCUGCGUUGUAUUAGCUAGUUGGUGGGGUAACGGCUUACCAAGGCGACGAUACAUAGCCGACCUGAGAGGGUGAUCGGCCACACUGGGACUGAGACACGGCCCAGACUCCUACGGGAGGCAGCAGUAGGGAAUCUUCGGCAAUGGACGGAAGUCUGACCGAGCAACGCCGCGUGAGUGAAGAAGGUUUUCGGAUCGUAAAGCUCUGUUGUAAGAGAAGAACGAGUGUGAGAGUGGAAAGUUCACACUGUGACGGUAUCUUACCAGAAAGGGACGGCUAACUACGUGC
rnacentral:rRNA from 1 species